rnacentral:lncRNA from 1 species
GCCUCGGGCUGAAAAUAUCGGGCUAAAUUUCGAGCUGACAUUCGGGCCUGGGCUCGGGCCAGAUCUGAGUCAGGCCAAAGGUAUGUCCGAGUCCAGUCCGAAAUAUAAACGAGCUCUAUAUUUAGGCUCAAGUCUGAUCUGAAUUCUUUCAGACUGAGCCCAAAGCCCGACCUGAAGUCGGCCCGGCCUGAUGAGCCUCGGACCGGCCC